rnacentral:rRNA from 1 species
GUACACUCCUGCGGGAGGCAGCAGUGGGGAAUAUUGGACAAUGGGCGCAAGCCUGAUCCAGCCAUGCCGCGUGAGUGAUGAAGGCCCUAGGGUUGUAAAGCUCUUUCACCGGUGAAGAUAAUGACGGUAACCGGAGAAGAAGCCCCGGCUAACUUCGUGCCGGCAGCCGCGGUAAUACGAAGGGGGCUAGCGUUGUUCGGAUUUACUGGGCGUAAAGCGCACGUAGGCGGACUAUUAAGUCAGGGGUGAAAUCCCGGGGCUCAACCCCGGAACUGCCUUUGAUACUGGUAGUCUUGAGUUCGAGAGAGGUGAGUGGAAUUCCGAGUGUAGAGGUGAAAUUCGUAGAUAUUCGGAGGAACACCAGUGGCGAAGGCGGCUCACUGGCUCGAUACUGACGCUGAGGUGCGAAAGCGUGGGGAGCAAACAGGAUUAGAAACCCGGGUAGUCCC